UACGAAGGGGGCUAGCGUUGUUCGGAAUCACUGGGCGUAAAGCGCACGUAGGCGGAUCUUUAAGUCAGGGGUGAAAUCCCGAGGCUCAACCUCGGAACUGCCUUUGAUACUGGGGAUCUCGAGUCCGGGAGAGGUGAGUGGAACUGCGAGUGUAGAGGUGAAAUUCGUAGAUAUUCGCAAGAACACCGGUGGCGAAGGCGGCUCACUGGCCCGGAACUGACGCUGAGGUGCGAAAGCGUGGGGAGCAAACAGG
rnacentral:rRNA from 1 species